ensembl:lncRNA
GUUUUUAAAUAAAUGGUACCUUCAUAAUUUAUUCAUAGCUAGCAUGCCAGCUGAAAAUGGAAAGAGCUAUACCAGUUAUUUCAACAAAGCUUUGGUUGUUUUCCAAUCCAACUCCUGUCAACAGAAAAAAUAGGACCCAAUAAUUUUGUCCACUUCAAAGCUUUACCCAAAUGAUCUGUUUACUUCAUGAAUGAGAGUAUGUGUUUUGCCUGUUUCCCUUGAGCUGGAACUUCAGUACCUGACAGAACUUGGCCGCAUGUGUGAUUUUUCUGGAAUUCACAGAGUCAUGGAUGAAACAUUACUGAUUCGGAACAGAGACCUGUGGAAUCCCAUGAGCAGCACCAGGGCAGCACUGGGGCCAUGGCCACCCCCCACCCAAUGGUAUGUUUGGUUGUUAUGGGACAUUUGUAGGGUCACUGUGCCACAGCUCUGUGAUCUCACAAGCCACCUCCCUCCUGGACCCCUAUAAAUAUGGGGACCCGGAGCCCAGAACCUCUGUCCAUCUGCAACCAGCGUCUUGACUGCCAGAGCCCUCUGACAGAAAGAGCAGCAUUUGAAUCCCCUUCCCGCGUGUGGUGAGAGCUGUGGUGGAGGGGGACGGAUCCCCCUCCACCGAAGAAGCGUCGCCGGCAGGAGAGCAGCAGCAAGCCGGAGCCCAUGGAGAUAGACUCCGAAGAGAGUGACGUCAACAUGGAACCAAUGGAGGUGGAUCUGCCUCCUGAGGAAGAG